rnacentral:rRNA from 1 species
UGGGGAAUCUUCCACAAUGGACGCAAGUCUGAUGGAGCAACGCCGCGUGAGUGAAGAAGGGUUUCGGCUCGUAAAGCUCUGUUGUUAAAGAAGAACGUGGGUAAGAGUAACUGUUUACCCAGUGACGGUAUUUAACCAGAAAGCCACGGCUAACUACGUGCCAC